rnacentral:rRNA from 1 species
UAUUAAGUGGCGGAAGGGUUAGUAAUACAUAGAUAAUCUGUCCUCAACUUGGGAAUAACGGUUGGAAACGACCGCUAAUACCGAAUGUGGUAUGUUUAGGCAUCUAAAACAUAUUAAAGAAGGGGAUCUUCGGACCUUUCGGUUGAGGGAGAGUCUAUGGGAUAUCAGCUUGUUGGUGGGGUAAUGGCCUACCAAGGCUUUGACGUCUAGGCGGAUUGAGAGAUUGACCGCCAACACUGGGACUGAGACACUGCCCAGACUUCUACGGAAGGCUGCAGUCGAGAAUCUUUCGCAAUGGACGAAAGUCUGACGAAGCGACGCCGCGUGUGUGAUGAAGGCUCUAGGGUUGUAAAGCACUUUCGCUUGGGAAUAAGAGAGAUUGGCUAAUAUCCAAUCGAUUUGAGCGUACCAGGUAAAGAAGCACCGGCUAACUCCGUGCCAGCAGCUGCGGUAAUACGGAGGGUGCUAGCGUUAAUCGGAUUUAUUGGGCGUAAAGGGCGUGUAGGCGGAAAGGAAAGUUAGAUGUUAAAUCUUGGGGCUCAACCCCAGGCCAGCAUCUAAUACUAUCUUUCUAGAGGGUGGAUGGAGAAAAGGGAAUUCCACGUGUAGCGGUGAAAUGCGUAGAUAUGUGGAAGAACACCAGUGGCGAAGGCGCUUUUCUAAUUUACACCUGACGCUAAGGCGCGAAAGCAAGGGGAGCAAACAGGAUUAGAUACCCUGGUAGUCCUUGCCGUAAACGAUGCAUACUUGAUGUGGAUAGUCUCAACCCUAUCCGUGUCGUAGCUAACGCGUUAAGUAUGCCGCCUGAGGAGUACACUCGCAAGGGUGAAACUCAAAAGAAUUGACGGGGGCCCGCACAAGCAGUGGAGCAUGUGGUUUAAUUCGAUGCAACGCGAAGAACCUUACCUGGGCUUGACAUGUAUUUGACCGCGGCAGAAAUGUCGUUUUCCGCAAGGACAGAUACACAGGUGCUGCAUGGCUGUCGUCAGCUCGUGCCGUGAGGUGUUGGGUUAAGUCCCGCAACGAGCGCAACCCUUAUCGUUAGUUGCCAACACUUAGGGUGGGAACUCUAACGAGACUGCCUGGGUUAACCAGGAGGAAGGCGAGGAUGACGUCAAGUCAGCAUGGCCCUUAUGCCCAGGGCUACACACGUGCUACAAUGGCCAGUACAGAAGGUAGCAAUAUCGUGAGAUGGAGCAAAUCCUCAAAGCUGGCCCCAGUUCGGAUUGUAGUCUGCAACUCGACUACAUGAAGUCGGAAUUGCUAGUAAUGGCGUGUCAGCUAUAACGCCGUGAAUACGUUCCCGGGCCUUGUACACACCGCCCGUCA